ensembl:lncRNA MUC20-OT1 MUC20 overlapping transcript
UUUCAGUGUUGUUCAGUGUAUUCACAGGGUUGCAGAACCAUCACUGCUGUCUUAUUUUAUUUUUUUGGCACUUUUUGGUAGAGACAGGGUUUUGCCACGUUGGCCAGGCUAGUCUCAAACUCCUGACCUCAAAUGAUCUGCCCGCCUCGGCCUCCCAAAGUGCUGGGAUUACAGGCAGCUGCUCCCAACCCCAGAACCUUUGCUGUCUUGGGACGGAUCACCGCUGCAAGAGGGGAAGUUGCUACUGUGAUGAAUUCUGCCAUGUGGCACCAGACUGCCACCCAGACCACAGUGUCCUCUGCAACCCUGGUAACUCACAUACAGGCCCGAUUCCACCUACAGCAAAGCUGGAUGCGAUGGCUGGCAGAGGCAAACCCUUUGCCUGCACUUCAGGCCAAAGCCGGGAUGUGGCCUAGAUGGUUCCUAAGGUCCCUGACAAUCCUGAGAUCUUGCAUCUUGUCUAUUUCAGGUCAAAGGUGCCUACAUGCUCCUUCUAGCUUUGUUUCCCUGAUGUUCCUUGCCACCUGCUACUCCUCUCUGAGCUACUUUUCCAGGUUCCACAGGGAGAGGUUCAGCUGUCCGUGGUAGACAUGAGGGUAGAGAAUGAGGUGGUUGGGUUCCACUUACCUUUCUAUCAUCUUGCAGUAUGGAUGUCUCUUGACUGGUACCGUGUAGACUUUUGAGGGCACACAGGAGUCUGCAGAGAGAUACUGGGGACAUUGAGCAGCAGCAGUGGGGUUGGGAGGCAGAAAUGAGGACAGGAACAUUUACCUUGUGUUUCUCUCAGCUUCUCAGAUGACCAAGAUGGUGCUGCAGAUGGUGCUGAGGAUGGAGAACCCACCAAGCCC